rnacentral:misc_RNA from 1 species
GUUGGUGAACCAGCGGAGGGAUCAUUACCGAGUUAUAAACUCCAAACCCUUGUGAACAAUACCACUGUUGCUUCGGCAGGCGGGCCCAGGGCGGGCCUAUACAACGCCUGCCGAAAGACCAAACUCUUCUAUCCUGCCCUCUGAAGAAAAGACAAAUAGUUAAAACUUUCAACAACGGAUCUCUUGGUUCUGGCAUCGAUGAAGAACGCAGCAUCUGACUGACUUCAACUAAUGCCAUCUCGUAUGCCGU